ACGAUGAAUAUAUAAAUAUUUAAACAUUUAUUUUAUACCUUAACUAGGUACUGUAUAUAAACACGAGUAGGUAUCCAGUGUUAAUGUUGACAUUUUGAGUUUUAUUUUAUUAAUUUUUAGUUGGCCACAACCAGUAUAACAACAAUGUAUUGGGCUUGUAUUUUAAUAACUUGUAUACAAUUAACAUACUGUAAGGUUCUUGUUCCACCAACUACAGUUUUAGAUUGGUGGCAAAAUUCAAUAGUUUACGAAAUAUUUCCAUUGUCAUUCAAAGAUUCAAAUGGUGACGGAUCAGGUGAUUUUAAAGGUAUAACCGAAAAAUUAGAUUACAUAGUAGAUCUAGGAGUGACAGCAAUUUGGAUAACGCCAUUUUUCGAAUCACCUUUAGAAUCUGGUGGCUACGACAUAACCAAUUAUCUAGAUGUACAACAUGUUUUUGGUACAUUAGAUGACUUCAAAGAUCUUUUAAAUACCGCACAUUCGAAAAAUUUAAAAGUUAUCAUGGACUUUGUUCCUAAUCAUACAAGUGAUAAACAUAUUUGGUUUGAAAAGUCUGCUAAAAAUGAAACUGAUUACGCAGACUAUUAUAUUUGGAAAGAUGCGAAAAAUCAAGAGGAUGUGAUAAAAAAUAAUGCUACUCCCAUUGUGCCGAAUAACUGGCAAAUGAUUUUUGGUGGCAGUGCUUGGACUUGGCAUAAUACUCGCAAACAGUUUUAUUUCGCUCAGUUCGUUAAAAAUUUACCAGAUUUAAAUUUUCGAAACAAAAAUGUUCAUAAAGAAAUGAAGAAUGUUUUGAAUUAUUGGAUCAAAUUGGGAAUUGAUGGUAUUCGUGUAGAUGCUUUAAAACAUGUAUACGAAAGCGAAAGUUUGGAGGACGAACCAGUAGUAGAUGAAAAUAUGGCUCUUAAUUACUUCAAUUUAGAUCAUAUUUAUACCAUAGACCAAGACGAAGUAUAUGACUUGAUCAAAGAAUGGCGUUUAUUACUUGAUGACUUUAAACAAAGCGACCAUCAUACAAGGAUAAUAAUGACUGAAUCAUACAGUAAUACCAGUAUUUUAUUUAAAUAUUACACUAGUGGAGCUGAAAUACCAACAAACUUUAAUUUAUUAGAAGAAUAUCAUCAUACUCCGAACGAUUAUGAGAGAGAAAUUGAAAAUUGGAUAACUAAAAUGCCAGUUGGAGCAACAUUUAAUUCAGUGCUACAAAACCAUGACCAUACAAGAUUCCCUACUUUUUACGGUACAGAAUUAAUUGAUGGCAUGAACGCUUUAUCCUUAUUUCUACCCGGCGUAUCUAUAGUUUAUUAUGGAGGAGAAAUUGGUAUGGAAGAUACAUCAGAUAAAAUCAAUUAUGCAAGAAGUCCUAUGCAGUGGGAUGAUACGAAAAAUGCAGGGUUCACUAAUAGCACACAUGAACCAUGGGUUGCGAUACACCCAGAUUAUGUCACGAGAAACGUGCAGACGGAAAAUAAAAAUCCUAAAAGUUAUUUAAACUUUUUCAAAUCCAUAUCGAAAUUACGUCAGACUGAAACGUUUAAAAAGGAGGGUUGGCGAUUGAUAUUCUUAACAAUAAUACAGUGUUUGUUUUAACCAGAUUUUUGCAUGGACAUGAGAACUACACAUUAAUGAUCAAUAUGGAUACAAACUAUACACAGCGUGUUCGUUUAUCAGACCAAGUAUCAAAUUUGCAUGAUAUUUUAACUAUAGUUAUUGGAUCCGAAAACUCGAAUUUCAAUUCUGGAAACUCGAUAUCAACUACAGAAUGGUUGAAUUUAAGUCCCGGUGCCACAAUUGUACUCACUGACAACCUAAUUUCGACAUCAUCAAGUAUUCCAGUAGAUGACACAGCAACAAAAUCAACACCUUCAUCCAGUACUCAAUUAUACAUAACAUCAAGAAUAGUAUUACUUUGCUUAUUUUUAAUUACAAUUUUUAAUCUAUAGGUCUCAUAUUUUUUAAUAAAAUAAAUAAGUAAUUAGAAAUGAUAA